rnacentral:rRNA from 1 species
UGGCUCAGAACGAACGCUGGCGGCAGGCCUAACACAUGCAAGUCGAGCGCGCCCUUCGGGGUGAGCGGCGGACGGGUUAGUAACGCGUGGGAACGUACCCUUUGGUAGGGAAUAGCCACUGGAAACGGUGAGUAAUACCCUAUGAGCCCUUCGGGGGAAAGAUUUAUCGCCAAAGGAUCGGCCCGCGUUAGAUUAGGUAGUUGGUGGGGUAAUGGCCUACCAAGCCUACGAUCUAUAGCUGGUUUUAGAGGAUGAUCAGCAACACUGGGACUGAGACACGGCCCAGACUCCUACGGGAGGCAGCAGUGGGGAAUCUUGGACAAUGGGGGCAACCCUGAUCCAGCCAUGCCGCGUGAGUGAAGAAGGCCUUAGGGUCGUAAAGCUCUUUCGCCUGUGAAGAUAAUGACGGUAGCAGGUAAAGAAACCCCGGCUAACUCCGUGCCAGCCGCCGC